rnacentral:rRNA from 1 species
CUAUCGCUUACAGAUGGGCCCGCGGUGCAUUAGCUAGUUGGUAGGGUAAUGGCCUACCAAGGCAACGAUGCAUAGCCGACCUGAGAGGGUGAUCGGCCACACUGGGACUGAGACACGGCCCAGACUCCUACGGGAGGCAGCAGUAGGGAAUCUUCCGCAAUGGACGAAAGUCUGACGGAGCAACGCCGCGUGUAUGAAGAAGGUUUUCGGAUCGUAAAGUACUGUUGUUAGAGAAGAACAAGGAUAAGAGUAACUGCUUGUCCCUUGACGGUAUCUAACCAGAAAGCCACGGCUAACUACGUGCCAGCAGCCGCGGUAAUACGUAGGUGGCAAGCGUUGUCCGGAUUUAUUGGGCGUAAAGCGCGCGCAGGCGGUCUUUUAAGUCUGAUGUGAAAGCCCCCGGCUUAACCGGGGAGGGUCAUUGGAAACUGGAAGACUGGAGUGCAGAAGAGGAGAGUGGAAUUCCACGUGUAGCGGUGAAAUGCGUAGAUAUGUGGAGGAACACCAGUGGCGAAGGCGACUCUCUGGUCUGUAACUGACGCUGAGGCGCGAAAGCGUGGGGAGCAAACAGGAUUAGAUACCC